rnacentral:siRNA from 1 species
UAGGAUUGUGCUUCGUUGCCCA